GAUGAACGCUGGCGGCGUGCCUAAUACAUGCAAGUCGAGCGAACGGACGAGAAGCUUGCUUCUCUGAUGUUAGCGGCGGACGGGUGAGUAACACGUGGAUAACCUACCUAUAAGACUGGGAUAACUUCGGGAAACCGGAGCUCAUACCGGAUAAUAUUUUGAACCGCAUGGUUCAAAAGUGAAAGACGGUCUUGCUGUCACUUAUAGAUGGAUCCGCGCUGCAUUAGCUAGUUGGUAAGGUAACGGCUUACCAAGGCAACGCUGCAUAGCCGACCUGAGAGGUGAACCGGCAAAAUGGAAACGGGAAAAGGGCCAGAAUCCUAAGGGAAGGAAGAGGAGGGAAAAUUUCGGAAAUGGGGAAAGGCUGAACGGAGCAAGGCGGGGGGGGGAAUAAGGGUUUUGGGAUGGAAAAAACUUUUAAUUGGGAAGAACAUAUGUGUAAGUAACUGUGCACAUCUUGACGGUACCUAAUCAGAAAGCCACGGCUAACUACGUG
rnacentral:rRNA from 1 species